AUGAUUCAUUUGCGCGCUCGUCAUGCAGUUUGCACGUCUGCGUGUGGCUACAGCUACACAAAUAAGUUCCCUUUAGUCUGUGAUCUAGGCUGCGCUGCCUCUUGAGCUUCGUUAACUAAUUCGUACGGUGAACGAAGAGCUUCCUGUAAAAUGCGAGGCGCUGCGCAGAGUUAGCAGAAAACAGAUGCAUCCGGCACCGUGCAGCGCCUUCCUCUGCUUGGCCAGUGUCCGUGAUCUGAAACAGUGUACAAGUAUUAGUAGCUGUCAGGUCCUACCAAAUCCCAGUUAGGUGGCUACUGCAAGCCACUCCAGCCGGCCGGUGUUGGAUAUACACACAGUGGAGAACAAGCCGCAGUCACUGUCUUCAUACAAUGUUUUGCAGGAGAUUAGGUCAAGAGAAUGGAGGUUUUAGUACAAUGACACAGGAUAAAGAAGCUGACGUCCAGACUUGAAGACUCUGCUGAAGGUCACCCAGCCAGGUCAGCAGUUACAUCAGGUUUGCCCGCAGGCUGUCCGACUGACUGCAGAAACUUCACCCAGCUCACUCCUGCAGGAGAGGUAGAAGGCCGGCAACUGUCCUGUACUUUCAAAAAUUAGAUCGGAAAAUAUAUUAAACCUU